AUUGAACGCUGGCGGCAUGCCUUACACAUGCAAGUCGAACGGCAGCGGACCUUCGGGUGCCGGCGAGUGGCGAACGGGUGAGUAAUAUAUCGGAACGUACCUUUCAGUGGGGGAUAACGUAGCGAAAGUUACGCUAAUACCGCAUAUUCUGUGAGCAGGAAAGCAGGGGAUCGCAAGACCUUGCGCUGAUUGAGCGGCCGAUAUCAGAUUAGCUAGUUGGUGAGGUAAAGGCUCACCAAGGCGACGAUCUGUAGCGGGUCUGAGAGGAUGAUCCGCCACACUGGAACUGAGACACGGUCCAGACUCCUACGGGAGGCAGCAGUUGGGGAAUUUUGGACAAUGGCGCAAGCCUGAUCCAGCCAUGCCGCGUGAGUGAAGAAGGCCU
rnacentral:rRNA from 1 species